CCUACGGGAGGCUGCAGUCGAGAAGCAUUCACAAUGGGGGAAACCCUGAUGGAGCGACGCCGCGUGGGGGAAUGAAGGUCUGCGGAUUGUAAACCCCUGUCAUGGGGGAGCAAAGUAAAAAGAUAGUACCACAAGAGGAAGAGACGGCUAACUCUGUGCCAGCAGCCGCGGUAAUACAGAGGUCUCAAGCGUUGUUCGGAAUCACUGGGCGUAACGCGUGCGUAGGCUGUUGCGUAAGUCGUGUGUGAAAGGCGCGGGCUCAACCCGCGGACGGCACAUGAUACGGCGAGACUAGGGUAAUGUCGGGGGAACCCGAAUUCUCGGUGUAGCCGU
rnacentral:rRNA from 1 species